rnacentral:lncRNA from 1 species
GCUGUAGUUAAUGCAACGCUGUCUCGGGCACGUGCUUCCACCAGUGAAAAUAAGAUGAGGGAUAUUUUUGGCUCUGCAGUUGGGGAACCAUAAAGACUUAAUAAACAGAAAGUGACACAAUAUGAAGAAAAAUAGAAAUACAGCAAGUUAUAAGUCUCAGCACUAAGGAUGCCACUCGGCACAAUAGCCAUGUAUGUACUCUGCAUUCAUCAUGGGCAAUGUCCAGGAAAAUGGGGAAGGAGAGAAGUUGGAUCAUCCAGCAAACAAUAUAGUAGCUCAGUAAAACUAUUAAUAGUUGGUACUGUAGAAUCUUAAAAGGUAGAAUGAACUCAUGAGUCAAUAAGUCUAUGUCACUGCUAUGACAACCACACAACAGAACCAGACAUUCUUCCAAAACCUACAAAAGAGAACAGUCUGCAACAUCCUUGGCAUCUUGUUUUAGUUUGAUAUGCUCUUAUUGUCGGGAUGUAUCCAAGGCCAUUCCUAUUCAAAGUGGUCCUGCUGAAAUGAAUGCAUAUGACUAACUUAGGCCCAUAAAUUUUGAUGGGCCUACUCUGAAUAAAGCUUAGAUAGAGCUCGUGAAGACAGUAAUGUGGACUCAGAGCUGCUUGAGCAAGCAAGUGUAGUGCAGUGUUCACACUACACCACUCUUAUCAAAAUGCUGUCCCAUAUUUGUUCCCAUUUAAUUGGGAUAUAGCAUUUCUGUGGGACAUUGUUAACUUAAAAUACAAACAUGGAAACAUUAAAUCCAGUAUAAAUGGGGGCACACUGAUGGUGAUGUUGCGUGGACCCUGCACCAACCUCCAAGCAUGAGUUGCAUUGAGUCCAUGAAAAACUGUCAGGGGGGAGCAUCCUAAUCUAAAACACUAAUCUUGCUAUUCAAAGAGCAAGAGUUGCUUCUUGUUUUAUCUCCAGAGGACUACAAGGAAGCACAGGGUCCUUGAGUUUCCUGGAUCUACCUUGUAACUCCUGGAUGAAGCAGGCCAGAGACUGAAGUGGAGUGGAAAGAAAGCCUGAAGAGGAAUUAUGAUGGAACAACAAACCCUUCACUUUCUAAAGCAAGGAGGGCUGGAAGCAUGAAGGAGAAAAGAGACAGGAUUGAACAUAGCAAAGAGGAGGUAAAGGAUACAACUACUUAAAGACCAGCACUCCCACUUAUCACCUCAUGAACCAGAGGAGUUUUUUUAAUGAGUAAAAAGGAAAUCUGCUACACUGGAGUAGCAUGGGUCAGAAAAGUCACACUCAGUUCUGCAUUACUGACAAAAUACUGCAGAUGUGUUCCUGAGUCUGUUCAGAGUCUCUUCCUUUGGAACACCAGAAAUAAAUGAUUGCCUGGAGUUCAGAGAAGAAACAUGGGCCAAUUCAAGUUGCUGAGAUGUUACAUAACUCAGCCCUUCACUAGCCUUGUGCCCACCAGAUGUUUUCCCAUGAGAGUUAGUCCAAAACCUCUGGAGGGCACUGAGGAGUUGGCAAAGGCUGGUGCAGCCACACCUCACUCUCUUCCACAAAUUUUGCCCUUGCAGGACUCCUUUACAUGCCAUUUUAAAAGUAUUUAUAAUCAGCAAGAAAAAAGCAUAGAUUUGUAUCAAUGAUGAUUCUACUUAGAGUAGACCCCUUCAAAUUAAUGGGUGUUGCUAACCUAGAACCAUUCAUUUUCAUACAUCUAUUCUGAGUAGAAUUUAGUUGGAUACAACAAUAGAUGCUAAAGCAAGUUAGCUUGCCUAUGUGAUAAGCACAGAUUAAAGAGAGUGGAGCAGGAAGCUAUGCCCAUAGUGAUAGUUAUCGUGUGACAAUGGUAGUUUAUUGGACAUUAAUGCAGGUUUACUGCAAGAACCUGUCAAAUUUAAGCACAUUUAAGACCCACUGCUUUCAACAGGAAAGUUAUGCACAUCCUUAAUCUUUAAAGUUGAGCAUUAAAACUGAUUAAUUUUAGCUGGAUUGGACCCCCUGUUUGCUAAAUAUCAAUUAAAUCUAUCACAAAACAUACAUAAAUGCAUCAGUUACAUCAACAGAUGAAGCUCAUUCCCAGUGGCCCAAGUGGAGUGUCUUUGUAAUUCUUUGCAUUUCCCCUCAGAAUACUGUCUUCCAUAAAUUUAUAUCCACAGAUGGGAUCUUGGAAAGGACAGCUACUCCAAAUUUGCAUUUACAUCAACUGUCUUGAGCAUAAAGUUACUGAAGCAAGUCUAACAUAUAUUCUAUUUUAUGUUUCACAGAAUCCAUCAACCACUGGAUGGGCAGUUUUCUCAGAAGGCAAGCUCCUAAAUUUCUCAGUGCUACCAUUCAGCACCUCUUCAAAAAGAACUUCUCAGUAAGUUUGACAUAGUACCUAGAGUAGACAGGCACAAUGAAAUGACAGAGAGCUCUCUGAUCCUUACCACCUCUUAUCUUGCCUCCCGUCUGAGGGGCAUUUAACUAAUGCAGGAGUAGGGAAUCAUCAGCUCGAAGGACACAUUCCCUUUGAGCAACCUUCAAGAGGCCGGAAGCCAGUGGUGAAGGGAACCAGGGGCAAAAGUGUGUGGAGCAAUAGCUGUAAAUUUUACCUUUGAACGGUAGGUUAGUUUCAUAGCCUUAUCUAUCCAUCACCCAAGCAAGCAAGAGACAUGAUCAGUCUUCAAGAAGACAUUUCAGCCAAGCAAAAACAUUCAAGAAGGAUGCAAAGUUGGGUUGCUGAGGGAUGUGAUUUGAGGAAAGGUGUGCAUCUGAGGAUGAGGACCCACAUCUUUGGAAAAGUCCCAAGGGCAAAAUUGAGCGGUCUGGAGGAUCUCAUUUGACCCCUGAGCCUAUGGUUUCUUAAGGGUCUAAAAUUAUGAAUGUAGUGCCCUUUGAUUUAGGUUGAGGACUUGCCGAAAUAUGUUGUUUUUACUGCAGUUAUCAAAACUCACAAUGUUCAGUGAUAAAAGAGGUUUAGGCAAAGAGUCAUAAAGUGGCCUUUCGGAAAUCAAUAAAUUGCCUACCCCACUGAAGACUGGGGUUUCCCAGCUCUGUCUUGUUCUUACUCUAUAUGAUAAGAGAAGAGUUUGAACUCAUGUCCCCAUCUAACACUCCCAUCUACUCAAGCCUAUCUCUAUGUUGGAAAGGAGUGCUUAUAUUUGUUGCUUUUAAAAAAGGGAAUGCGCCAGUGCCACUGGAGAAUAGCACAAUGUUCAAAAUGACUGAAUACAAAUAGUCUUAAGAGCAAAAGGGUUUAUGAAAUCAAUUAUGUUAGAUAUAAGUUGACUUGAGUUGCUUAAAAUGUGAAGCUCUUAAUGUGCAUCUUAUUUAUUUAGGGUGGAUAUAACUGAAGAGACUUCCCAAGAGAAAAUCCCUUACUCAAUCAGAACCAGUGGGAGGGGACACUCAAAUUGGUAGCGUUUGAGAAAUUUAGCUCCAUUAUAUUUGAUCAAUAUGGUGAGAAAUAUUAUGAAGUUGUGUAUAUAUAGUGCAUAUAUAGAGGUUCAUAAAGUGGUGGGAGGAUGAAGGAGAUGUGUUAUCUAUCACAAGUAAUGUUACAGGCACCAUCAGAGAAGGGUCGAUGACAUGCACACAGUCAUGUUCCACAUUUCCCAGUUACAACUGAUGGCUAGCUGGGGGAAAAUUGCAUUUUCCCAGAGACAAAAUAUUGUAGAUCAAAUGCUGGUAAAAAGUUGUAUCUCUGCCACAGAAGUACUACCUUGAGGAAAGGCCUGGUCCCCUCACAACUAAUGAGUAACAACUGUACUUUUAUCAUUCUGAAAGGUACAGUAACUCAUUCUACAAGCUGUUUAUUCCCUCUCUGAGGCAUCACAGAUACCUGGGGACAAGCUAAAAGAACAGCCUAAGCCUGGAUCCAAAAAUAAACAAAAAUCCAUUUGUAUUCUCCUAUACUGUAUAACAGUCUGGUUAUUUUUAGGUCAUUGAUCUCAACUUAUUAAAAUAAAAUGGUAAAAUCUAUAGCUCUUCUCUCAGAGUUGUGGUCAAUUAAAGCAGCUCACAUAUGAGGUAUAUUUAAUUCCAACGAUAAAAUUGCUAUCUGGGGUUGCAUCAUAUGAGUUAUCGGGGCAUGAAUUGGGUUCGUUCCUCAGUUACAGUAAUAUAAUUUCAAUUAUAUCAGCUCAAGAAUCACGUUCCAAGGAAAAUGCGAGGCUCUUCAACUUGUACCAUACUCUUUUAGGGUGGCUGUAAUAUUCUCUCAAAACAACCCCUUUUGUUUUCCUCAGAAAUUCUGACUGUUGGCUCCCCCCCCCCCCCCCGCUGAAACUCGCCAGAACUUCUCAGGUGGGUGCGAUUGCC